CCUACGGGGGGCAGCAGUCGAGAAUCAUUCACAAUGGGGGAAACCCUGAUGGUGCGACGCCGCGUGGGGGAAUGAAGGUCUUCGGAUUGUAAACCCCUGUCAUGUGGGAGCAAAUUAAAAAGAUAGUACCACAAGAGGAAGAGACGGCUAACUCUGUGCAAGCAGCCGCGGUAAUACAGAGGUCUCAAGCGUUGUUCGGAAUCCCUGGGCGUAAAGCGCUCGUAGGCGGUAUGUCAAGUCAAGGGUGAAUGCCCCGCGCUCAACGUGGGAACUGCCUUUGAAACUGGCAAACUGGUGUGUGUGAGAGGAUAGUGGAAUUCCAGGGGUAGGAGUGAAAGCCGUAGAUAUCUGGAGGAACAUGAGUGGCGAAGGCGACUAUCUGGCACAUAACUGACGCUGAGGAGCGAAAGCGUGGGUAGCAAACAGGAUUAGAUACCCGUGUAGUC
rnacentral:rRNA from 1 species